rnacentral:rRNA from 1 species
CCSSMGGCRRCCCCCUUCGGGGUACUCGRUGGCGAACGGGUGAGUAAYAYGUGGGUGACCUGCCCUGCACUCUGGGAUAAGCCUGGGAAACUGGGUCUAAUACCGGAUAUUCCCUUCUGGCCGCAUGGUUGGUUGGGGAAAGCGUUAUGUAGCGGUGUGGGAUGGGCCCGCGGCCUAUCAGCUUGUUGGUGGGGUGAUGGCCUACCAAGGCGACGACGGGUAGCCGGCCUGAGAGGGUGACCGGCCACACUGGGACUGAGAUACGGCCCAGACUCCUACGGGAGGCAGCAGUGGGGAAUAUUGCACAAUGGGCGCAAGCCUGAUGCAGCGACGCCGCGUGAGGGAUGACGGCCUUCGGGUUGUAAACCUCUUUCAGCGCCGACGAAGCGUAAGUGACGGUAGGCGCAGAAGAAGCACCGGCCAACUACGUGCCAGCAGCCGCGGUAAUAWWUAGGGUGCGAGCGUUGUCCGGAAUUACUGGGCGUAAAGAGCUCGUAGGUGGUUUGUCGCGUUGUCCGUGAAAUCCCACGGCUUAACUGUGGGCGUGCGGGCGAUACGGGCAGACUAGAGUGCUGCAGGGGAGACUGGAAUUCCUGGUGUAGCGGUGGAAUGCGCAGAUAUCAGGAGGAACACCGGUGGCGAAGGCGGGUCUCUGGGCAGCUACUGACGCUGAGGAGCGAAAGCGUGGGGAGCGAACAGGAUUAGAUACCCUGUAGUCCACGCCGUAACGGUGGGUACUAGGUGUGGGUUYCUUUUCCUAAGGGAUCCGSUGCCSGUARCYYWAASGGC